ACAAAACUGCAGAUGCUCUGUUGAAUCCACUGGAGAUUGUCCUCAUACUAAGGACAAGUAUGCUCAUAUGACAUUAACAGACAAGACACUUUUCAGAAAGACAGGUUGUUCUUUUGGGCCACAUCUAAGAAAUCUUUGUCUAGCCAAAAGCCACAAAUAAUUUCUCAUUUUUUGGCUUCUGGAAGAUGUACAGUUAAAUGUUAUAUUUGGGACUGUUAUCUAAUUUGAUUAAAUUGCACUCUACAAUAUGAUAUUUGAAUUGAUGAAAAAUUAGUAAAUGUUAAUAUUUUUUAAAGUAGCCAAAUCUUGCAAUUUAUAUAUAAUAGAGAAGACUAGAAAAUCCCCCAUAUUUAUUUCCUCUUACUUCGUACUACUAAAAUUUGUAUUUAGGCAUUUGGUUUCUCAGAUAAACAUUACAUUCCCCAGUAUAUGGUUCUAUCUGGCUUGG
rnacentral:antisense_RNA from 1 species